CACGUAGGAGGCGAGCGUUGUCCGGAAUCAUUGGGCGUAAAGAGCGCGCAGGCGGCUUGGCAAGUCGGGUGUGAAAUCCCGGGGCUACCAACCCCGUGACUGCAUCGAUACUGUCAGGCUAGAGGUAGGUAGGGGAGAUCGGAAUUCCUGGUGUAGCGGUGAAAUGCGCAGAUAUCAGGAGGAACACCGGUGGCGAAGGCGGGAUCUCCGGGCCUUACCUGACGCUCAGGCGCGAAAGCUAGGGGAGCGAACAGG
rnacentral:rRNA from 1 species